UACGGGGGGGGCAAGCGUUGUUCGGAAUUACUGGGCGUAAAGGGCUCGUAGGUGGCCAACUAAGUCAUACGUGAAAUCCCUCGGCUUAACCGGGGAACUGCGUCGGAUACUGGAUGGCUUGAAUUCGGGAGAGGGAUGCAGAAUUCCAGGUGUAGCGGUGAAAUGCGUAGAUAUCUGGAGGAAUACCGGUGGCGAAGGCGGCAUCCUGGACCGACAUUGACGCUGAUGAGCGAAAGCUAGGGGAGCAAACGGG
rnacentral:rRNA from 1 species